GUCCAUAUGAAGGAACCCCUAUUUUUCGGUACGAAAUUCAAUUUUUUUUCAAACAAUCUUCUCCAGUCGACUCGUCUUCAACGAGUAUGGAAGGAAACCGAUAUCUUUAAUUCCCACAGUGAAAAAAAAAAAAAAAAGAAGUGACAGGAAAAAAGGGGAAGAAUACGAUGGUUGGCGAUGGAGGUGGCGAAGAAAUCGGAGAGGAAGAAAAAUGGUAAUUAAAACGAGAGCGCACGGCAGGCCUCGGUUCGAAUAUCGGCUUUCGGCUGGUCUGAAAACGAUACCUGGUGUUCUCCUCUUUUUCCAUGCCCCCUCUCGCUUCUUACCGCGAUCAUCCCUCCCUCGCACUUCGAACACGUGCCGCGGACUUUUAAAUUCGCUCCGCCGCCACGACUCGACAUAGUUGUUUCUAUCUCUCCUCUUCCUUUAUCUCGCUUAUUCUCGUGGUUUUUGCAGUUAUCUUAUGUAAAAAAAAGAGGAGAAUUGUGCAUCCAAUCUCUCUCUCUCUUUCUGUCUCUCUGUUUUCUUUUUUUUUUUCGACGACUUAUUUUUUAAGAAUAAGGAUCCAAUGCGGGUCGAUGGUUCACGAUGGUUUUCGAUCGAAAUAUAUUGUAUAUAGAUGGCGAUAGUGAGGAUCGAUGGUGGCGACGCGAGGAAACGAGAGUUUUAGAUCAAGCUUGGGACGCAGUGGAGUUUGAAGGAUGGAUCGACUCGACGAAUUUCUGACGUGAAUUGAAUAUUGUUGACGUAAAACUGAUUGCCAAGACAAUGAGACGCGUCCUUCCGAUUCGCAUCUCAAGAAACAAGACUGGCUGGUUGGCCGUGGCAACUUGCCAUUUGUGCUACAUUACACAGGAGUGAAUUUAAUUUUAAAUACCUCGCCACCUCGCGACGUAGAA